rnacentral:tRNA from 1 species
GCCCUCGUCGUCUAGCGGCCAAGGAUAUCUGGUUCUCAUCCAGAAGAUCGCGGGUUCGAAUCCCGCCGAGGGCA